GUCGAGCGAGAAAGUCCCCGCAAGGGGAUGAGUAAAGCGGCGAACGGGUGAGUAACACGUGGGCAACCUGCCCUUUAGUCGGGAAUAACCCCGCGAAAGCGGGGCUAAUACCGGAUAAUGUCCUCUGGGGGCAUCUUCGGAGGACCAAAGGGGGCGAGCGAAAGCGGCUCCCGCUGAAGGAUGGGCCUGCGGCUGAUUAGCUUGUUGGUGGGGUAGCGGCCUACCAAGGCGACGAUCAGUAGCCGACCUGAGAGGGUGACCGGCCACACUGGGACUGAGACACGGCCCAGACUCCUACGGGAGGCAGCAGUGGGGAAUAUUGCGCAAUGGGCGAAAGCCUGACGCAGCGACGCCGCGUGGGUGAUGAAGGCCUUCGGGUCGUAAAACCCUGUCGGGUGGAACGAAUACCGCUCCGCUAAUACCGGAGCGGCUUGACGGUACCACCGAAGGAAGCCCCGGCUAACUACGUGCCAGCAGCCGCGGUAAUACGUAGGGGGCAAGCGUUGUUCGGAUUUACUGGGCGUAAAGAGCGCGUAGGCGGUUCGAUGAGUCGGAGGUGAAAUCCCUCGGCUUAACCGAGGACCCGCGUCCGAUACUGUCGAACUUGAGUGCAGGAGAGGAGAGCGGAAUUCCCAGUGUAGCGGUGAAAUGCGUAGAUAUUGGGAGGAACACCGGUGGC
rnacentral:rRNA from 1 species